AUUGAACGCUGGCGGCAGGCCUAACACAUGCAAGUCGAACGGUAACAGGAAGCAGCUUGCUGCUUCGCUGACGAGUGGCGGACGGGUGAGUAAUGUCUGGGAAACUGCCUGAUGGAGGGGGAUAACUACUGGAAACGGUAGCUAAUACCGCAUAACGUCGCAAGACCAAAGAGGGGGACCUUAGGGCCUCUUGCCAUCGGAUGUGCCCAGAUGGGAUUAGCUAGUAGGUGGGGUAACGGCUCACCUAGGCGACGAUCCCUAGCUGGUCUGAGAGGAUGACCAGCCACACUGGAACUGAGACACGGUCCAGACUCCUACGGGAGGCAGCAGUGGGGAAUAUUGCACAAUGGGCGCAAGCCUGAUGCGGCCAUGCCGCGUGUAUGAAGAAGGCCUUCGGGUUGUAAAGUACUUUCAGCGGGGAGGAAGGGAGUAAAGUUAAUACCUUGGCUCAUUGACGUUACCCGCAGAAGAAGCACCGGCUAACUCCGUG
rnacentral:rRNA from 1 species